GUUUUAAAAUUAACUUAAAUUCAGAAUGUAACCAGUUAAAUUUAUUAUUUAUUAAGUAUCAACUUUUGACUUAGAAGCCUUAGAACAAUCUUGUGUUCACUUAACUUAGCUUGCACAUAAUACAUUAUACAACAUAACUACACAUAUAUGUUGACUAUGUUAGUUAACUAACUGUUUACCCUCCAAAGCGUUAUCAUAAUAAAUAAAUAACACUUAGUUAUGUUACAGUUACUUAAAAAUAUAUGUUUUCAAGAAUUACAAUUAAAUGUAUUUUUUUGUUUCUUAUAGUCAGCAAAAGAGGGUUUCCAAGUUCCAGAUUAAAUAGGAUAUCAAUGUAUAACAUGGACUACUCAAUUAUGUUUUCUUCAGUUCAUACAUAUAUUUUGUCAUUUCCAGUUUCAGAUAGAUGAAAUUACACUACUGAAUAAUGAUUAAUUUUAAUAAUAAUUGUAUCAUUUUUGAAAUAAUUAUGAUUUCGAGGAAUGAAACAUAAAAUUAUUGUUAAGAUUGAUAUACCAUACUACCAUCGUCCAACUGUGAAGAAGUAGGUGGUAGCCAAUUUUAAAAGUGCACAUCUUUGAAGACCAGGAUGUGUAAAUGUGAAUUGGAAAGUGGCAACAUAUACCUAGUUCAGACUUCAGAAAUUUAGUUACACAUGAUUUAUGGAAAUUGGGUUCAUUAAUUUUUGGACAUUCAAAACUAUACCAUACUACUAUAGUACUAUUGUCUGAUUGUGAAGAAGUAGGUGGCUAAUUUUAAUAGUGCAGAUCUUAGAAGACCAGGAUGUGUAGAUGUGAAUUGGAAAGUGGCAACAUAUACCUAGUUCAGACUUCAGAAAUUUAGUUAGACAUGAGUUAUGGAAAUUGGAAUCAUUAAUUUUUGGACAUUCAAAGUAGCUUUAGAAACUCUAAUAAAUGUAUUUUCUAUCUAAUAAUUGUAUUAAAUAUAAUUAAAUACGAUUUUAUAUUUAACUUAUGAUUAAUACAGCAAAUAACUAAAUUACU